GGGUGUCUCAAAGGGAUUCUGCAAAAAGAGGAUUGUUCUUUUUGUGUUGUUUUGUUUUUCUAUAUUAGAUUUGGAGUUGGAGAAGAGAUUGCAUUGAGAGAAGGUCUUUGUAAUCACUAUUGCAAAAGCGCUGUUUAACGUUGGUUAAUUUGGGCUUUUAACGUCACUUUCCCAACCGACGUCUAUAUGGGUGACGUCUAU
rnacentral:lncRNA from 1 species